AAACGUACAAUCAUGGUGUAAGGGGAAGCAAACAUGUCCUUCUUCACACAGUGGCAGCAAAGAGAAGUGCAGAGUGAAGCAGGGGGUGGGGGAGAGGGGAAAAGCCCCUUAUAAAACCAUCAUAUCUCGUGAGAACUCACUGACUAUCACGAGAACAGCAUGAGGGUAACGGCCCUCAUGAUUCAAUUACCUCCCGCUGGGUCCCUCCCACGGCACAUGGACAUUACAGGAACUACAGUUCAAGAUGAGAUUUAGGUGGGGACACAGCCAAACCAUAUCAGAAACAAUCCUAGCUGAAUCUUAGGAGGCAUACAGCAAACGCGGGGGAGCAGAACGCAUGAGCAUAGGCACUGAUGCUGAGCUUUCAGCUUGCCGGACCCUCAAUCGAAAAUGUUCUACAGCUGGAAGGGAGUGUGGGUGGAUCCUCUGAGUCAGUUAAAUGGAGGUCAGCUGGAGAUGCCACUGCCAGGCAGAAGCUGCUAAUUCUCACCACAGAUAAUACUAUGAGUCAUGAAUGUGAUGACAUCAUGAAUAUUUUCAAACCAAAUGCAAGUACCAGGAUGAAGCAUGCAGUCUGUCUGCUCUGAUGGAGGGAACUAAACAGCAUUUCCUGUUUCCCCUGAGUAUUGUCACUGCUCUACAUCUGAGUGAUGGGAACCUGGGAGGUGCUCAAAUGAGUGUCAUUUGAUGGGGAGAUGCCUGGUGCCAAGUCUUGAAAAACAAACAAGAAAAAAUCUUCUCGCUCUGAUCCUCUUAACCUGAAGUUCUUACCCUGGAGAGGACUCUGGGAGCUGGGGUGUGGAGGUUGGAGGGGGUAGGGGAGAGGAGAAGGAGAAAAAGGCCUCUCCGUGUAAGAGGAGAGCAAAUUGAAAGUCACCGAGGGGUGUGCCUCAAGGCAGUUUGUAAAUCCACUUCCUUUGUCAUAACAAGAACAAAUCCCACCUUUGAAGUUUUUCUUUCUUGUUACAAGGGGAAUGUCUUUUGUUUAAUCCAUUUUAGCCCUUAAUACCUGACCUGGAUCAAUCCUGUUGGUUAGAUUACACAGCAUUCAUGCUGAUUUUAAACUGGCCUGGGGGUGGGGGGUGGGACAGGUUCUGUCUCAUUGGUGUGAGAAUCGCAAGAAUAAUCAACAUGUAUACCUAGUCCAUUUUUACUUUGAAUAACAAACUGUCCUUUUAUAUUUAAA
ensembl:lincRNA